rnacentral:rRNA from 1 species
GGGUCAGUAGGUUGGUCGUGCCACAGGUAUGAACUGGCCUCACUGAUUCCUCCUUCCUGAUGAACCGUAAUGCCAUUAAUUUGGUGUUGCGGGGAGACUGGACUGUUACUUUGAAAAAAUUAGAGUGUUCAAAGCAGGCUAUCGCCCGAAUACAUUAGCAUGGAAUAAUAAAAUAGGACG